rnacentral:rRNA from 1 species
AGUGAACGCUGGCGGUAGGCCUAACACAUGCAAGUCGAACGGCAGCACAGUAAGAGCUUGCUCUUACGGGUGGCGAGUGGCGGACGGGUGAGGAAUACAUCGGAAUCUACUUUUUCGUGGGGGAUAACGUAGGGAAACUUACGCUAAUACCGCAUAAGACCUACGGGUGAAAGCAGGGGAUCUUCGGACCUUGCGCGAUUGAAUGAGCCGAUGUCGGAUUAGCUAGUUGGCGGGGUAAAGGCCCACCAAGGCGACGAUCCGUAGCUGGUCUGAGAGGAUGAUCAGCCACACUGGAACUGAGACACGGUCCAGACUCCUACGGGAGGCAGCAGUGGGGAAUAUUGGACAAUGGGCGCAAGCCUGAUCCAGCCAUACCGCGUGGGUGAAGAAGGCCUUCGGGUUGUAAAGCCCUUUUGUUGGGAAAGAAAAGCAGCAGGUUAAUACCCCGCUGUCCUGACGGUACCCAAAGAAUAAGCACCGGCUAACUUCGUG